rfam:Ovis aries breed Texel chromosome 1, whole genome shotgun sequence.
UCCCUGGUGAGUCAGGGGCUGAGAUUCUGCACUGUCAACGCAGGGAGCCCAGGUUCGAUCCCUGGUCAGGGAA